rnacentral:lncRNA from 1 species
CUCCAGGUAACCACCAGGUAAGUACCCCUACCCCACCUUCACCCCCCUUACCCCACUGCCUGGAACACUGUUCCGACAGUGUUUCGACAUCCCUCGGGGGUUUCUUUGACUCACCUCCCACACCAUCGUGACACACAGUGUCAGACGCACAUUUCCUGCAAAUUUCGUUGCCGGAAACAGCCGCACGCGCCGCCCACGCGCCGCCCCUGUCCUCCACGCGCCGCGCGCGUGUGCCCACUUCCCGGCACUUUUUCCACCGGCUUCUUUUGGACAUUUUCUCCCCCAUAUUUCCGACCCACUUGGUACUCUCGGAAUUUUUCACUGGUCACUUUCAUCCUUUAUUGUUCAUUUAGCCACCUUGCUUUUCGCCGGAAAUUUUACCGGCAACUCCUACUCUUUUCCUUCUAUUCUAUUCCCUGCUUUUUGUGGGUGUGUUCUGUUUCCUUGGACAGGUACCUAUUUCAACGGCGAGGAUCUCCAACAACUACCGUCCAAACUCUCAUUCAGACUCACGGCAGGACGCAAUAGAGCCCCGCACUUUGCUCAGAUUCAGGAGAACUCGGGCGCAGCAAAGCACACUUCCAGGUUUUUCC